CUACGGGUCGCUCCAGUGGGGAAUAUUGCACAAUGGGGGAAACCCUGAUGCAGCGACGCCGCGUGAACGAUGAAGUAUUUCGGUAUGUAAAGUUCUAUCAGCAGGGAAGAUAAUGACGGUACCUGACUAAGAAGCACCGGCUAAAUACGUGCCAGCAGCCGCGGUAAUACGUAUGGUGCAAGCGUUAUCCGGAUUUACUGGGUGUAAAGGGUGCGUAGGUGGUAUGGCAAGUCAGAAGUGAAAGCACGGGGCUCAACCCCGUAACUGCUUUUGAAACUGUCAAACUAGAGUGCAGGAGAGGAAAGCGGAAUUCCUAGUGUAGCGGUGAAAUGCGUAGAUAUUAGGAGGAACACCAGUGGCGAAGGCGGCUUUCUGGACUGUAACUGACACUGAGGCACGAAAGCGUGGGGAGCAAACAGGAUUAGAUACCCGGGUAGUC
rnacentral:rRNA from 1 species